GACGAACGCUGGCGGCGUGCCUAAUACAUGCAAGUAGAACGCAGUUGCGAACGGGGGAGUAACGCGUAGGUAACCUGCCUCAUAGCGGGGGAUAACUAUUGGAGACGAUAGCUAAUACCGCAUACUGUGAGAUGGACCUGCGUUGUAUUAGUUAGUUGGUGAGGUAAAGGCUCACCAAGGCGACGAUACAUAGCCGACCUGAGAGGGUGAUCGGCCAACGUGGGACUGAGACACGGCCCGGACGCCUCCGGGAGGCAGCAGUGGGGAAUAUUGCACGAUGGGCGAAAGCCUGAUGCAGCCAUGCCGCGUGUAUGAAGAGGGCCUUCGGGUUGUAAAGUACUUUCAGCGGGGAGGCGUUACCCGCAGAAGAAGCACCGGCUAACUCCGUGCCAGCAGCCGCGGUAAUUC
rnacentral:rRNA from 1 species